rnacentral:rRNA from 2 species
CCAACAGGGAUGGCCCCCAGUAACGGCGAGUGAAGCGGCCACAGCUCAAAUUUGAAAUCUGGCCCCAGGCCCGAGUUGUAAUUUGCAGAGGAUGCUUCGGGCGCGGCGCCUUCCAAGUCCCCUGGAACGGGGCGCCACAGAGGGUGAGAGCCCCGUACGGUUGGACGCCAAGCCUGUGUGAAGCUCCUUCGACGAGUCGAGUAGUUUGGGAAUGCUGCUCUAAAUGGGAGGUAGACCCCUUCUAAAGCUAAAUACCGGCUGGAGACCGAUAGCGCACAAGUAGAGUGAUCGAAAGAUGAAAAGAACUUUGAAAAGAGGGUUAAACAGCACGUGAAAUUGUUGAAAGGGAAGCGCUUGUGACCAGACUUGCUCCGGGGCGUUCCCCUGGCGUUCUCGCCAGGGCACUCGCCCCGAGGCAGGCCAGCGUCGGUUCGGGAGGGGGGAUAAGGACGUCGGGCACGUAGCUCCCUCGGGAGUGUUAUAGCCCGGUGUGCGAUGCCCCCGCCCGGACCGAGGUACGCGCUCUGCAAGGACGCUGGCGUAAUGGUCACCAGCGGCCCGUCUUGAAACACGGACCAAGGAGUCGAGGUUCUGCGCGAGUGUCUGGGUGCCAAACCCGCACGCGCAAUGAAAGUGAACGUAGGUGGGAGCUUCGGCGCACCACCGACCGAUCCUGAUGUUCUCGGAUGGAUUUGAGUAUGAGCGUUGGGCCUCGGACCCGAAAGAUGGUGAACUAUGCUUGGAUAGGGUGAAGCCAGAGGAAACUCUGGUGGAGGCUCGCAGCGGUUCUGACGUGCAAAUCGAUCGUCAAAUCUGAGCAUGGGGGGCGAAAGACUAAUCGAACCAU